AACCUGCCCUGUACUGGGGAAUAAUCAUUGGAAACGAUGACUAAUACCGCAUGUGGUCCUCGGAAGGCAUCUUCUGAGGAAGAAAGGAUUUAUUUGGUACAGGAUGGGCCCGCAUCUGAUUAGCUAGUUGGUGAGAUAACAGCCCACCAAGGCGACGAUCAGUAGCCGACCUGAGAGGGUGAUCGGCCACAUUGGGACUGAGACACGGCCCAA
rnacentral:rRNA from 1 species